AAGUCGUAACAAGGUUUCCGUAGGUGAACCUGGGGAAGGAUCAUUAACACGUAUCCAACGUUAAACCCCCCGUGAACCUUUAUUGUGCUCGUCUGCCCUGUUGGAAAGCGGCAAUCCCUGGUAAAUCAUCGCCGAACAGUUUUGAUUCAGGGACUUCUGCGGAGCGCGGAAAGGCAAGUGGUCUGGCAUCCCUGCUUGCUGCGCUUAAUUGUGCGGCCAUAAACCGAACAACUGUUAACAAUGGAUAUCUUGGUUCUC
rnacentral:misc_RNA from 1 species